AUGCCCCGAGGAAAUGCGGCUCGCCGGGGACCGGCGCCCGGCGGAACGACAGCCAGGACUACCUGCUGCUGGACGCGGAGCCGGGCGACGACAGCGCCCUGCCGCCCUACGCCUUCUACCCGCUGCGAAGAAACAGCCGCGGCGAGCGCCCCUCCGACCGGCCGCAGCCCCCCCCCCCGGUGCCCGCUCUGCUGGGAGAGGGACCCCAGCGCCCUGAGGAGGAGUAGGAGGAGGAGGAGGAUGGCGAUGAGGAGGGCUGCCGUUUGCUGCCGUUUGCUGCCGAGCCCGCGUCGCUCCUCGUUAAAAUUAACGCUGUGUCUGGUGGGUUCAACGUAGUUACGGAAAUAAUCACUCGCAGAGUGAGCGCACAUCGCGGUCGUGUUCGUACAACCGCGGUCCUUCCCUUGCUGCGUUCUGUCAGAGGCGCGUAGCCCGCUGUAAUUUGAUUUUCCAAGUUUUGCUGAGUAGCUCUUGCCAUUUAAAGUAGGGUGGAAAGACAUGUGCCAUGAAAACUAAAUGAAACAUAAACGACAAAGGUUCCGGGAGCCGCAGUUUUUAAAAACCAGGUCAAUUAACGCUCACUGUUUACACUUUCUCCCUGGUUCUGUACUGUCAGCGUGAGUCCCAUAAUUAUCACUUGUUAGUGCUUCUGUACAGAAGCUGUCCCACAGAGGAGGAAAAUGGGUAUUAAGCAAUGUGAGAUGAGUCUGAAAAUCCCAGGUGAUUACUGGAAGCUCUGUACUUUCUUUUACACAAAUUGGAUUUACUGCUUAACUCCAUGAUGAACUCCAGUUGUGUACCUCUUCUAGUUUUUUUCAGUUUUAUCUAGGAGGAACUUACCAGCCAUUUGUCAUCUACCUGGAUGUAGAAAAGGAAUAAUUGCAAGGAAAAUGGUAAUACUCACAGUGUUUGAUUAUUUAUACUCUCACUUAAGAACAGAGUUUUCAGAAAUCACAACUGUAUUGCUCUUCCUAAGUGUUUUUUGCUGUAGAGUACUUACUAGUUCAGUAUGAUCAUAUAGCUAUAGGAGCAUAUAUUAUUGUACACUGGACUUAAACCCCGUGUCAAUAUCUAUGAAUGUAUCUCUCUAGUGAAUGAUUUCCUGAGAAAAAUCUAAUGAUGAGUAGUGCAGGGACUGCUUCUGGCUAGGUGGACUUCAGCUUUGAACUGAUAUGCCAAUUGUUGCAUUCUUUUGCUGUGGACUCAUUGAGAAUGGUUGUCCAGCUGCAAGAGGAUAUAUCUUGCUUCAGUGGUUUAAAUACUAGCUGAAAACAAGAUCUUCAAGAGCUGUGGGAUGCUAAUGUUUUCCCUUCAGCAGUGUGUUAGCAGCUCUUGGUCCAGCACACAAGUAUGGAGAUCGUUUCUCAUCAUCUCAGAAUGGCUUUGAGGAAAGCCUACAUCCUAAUUAGGUUGCUUUGUAGAGCUUGGGCAGCACUAAACUCAGGAUUUUAUCUCAAGUUGUGUCACAUCAAGGUCUUAGAUGGCUGAUUCUGCUGUACAGAAGCCUCUCCCUGUGGAAUUUUUUUCCAACAGUCUUUGAGAACAGACAGAGGCUACUGAUCUGAGUGGCGGAUGUGAACCUGAGGAAUGUGCCCAUUCUCGGUUUUUAUAUAGUUGCUACUAAAAAAGGUGCUCUAGGGGACUUUGCUGUUGCUGUGCUUGUUUUUUAGAUGCACAUUAGGCAUGGGAAAGUUCGUUUGGGGCUUCUCAUCUUCUUCUAAGGAGCCACUUUAUGGGCACCUUGUAGACAUUGCCUGCACAGAACCACUUACAAACUCUAACUAAGCUGGCAGGGAUGAAUGCAGCGAGCACAGGCUCCUCCAGGAAGAGGUGAUGUCCUAAGUACAGGUUUUGAAUUUUACUGCCUAAAGUCCACGUGCAUCGUGUUUUACAUACCUUUUGUGCUGUCUCUUGAGCUGGAAGUCAAUAGUUUUACCAGUGGCCUUCAUAUGGCCAAGAACAAAAUCAGAGUGCUGGUGUUUGGUAUAUAUGAUUUAUAACCUUUGUAAUCUGCAUGUGCUAAGAGCACUUUUCUCUGCUUUCUUUUGAAAUCUUCAAAUGACCAGUAUUUCAUGAUGUUACGGUGGAGAGUAUUAUGUGAAUCUUACCUUGUAUCCAUAGAGUCAUAAGGUCUCUGAAGAUCGUGAAGAUAGUGUUGAUGAAGGGCCUGCAUUACCCAGACAGUUAAAUUAUGUGAAAUCAGUUGUUUGUGUGCUGUGAAAUCUACUUGGGCUCAGUGUGCAUGCCUUAUCAAGUCUGUCCAUACGUGUUUAUUCUUUAGCUUCUUCUCCAGCAAUGUGGCAGCUUAUGGAGCUGGUCAUGCUGUAAGGUGCCAUAUUCUUCCAUGAAAGCCCAUGGAGGAAUCAUUGGUGGCCAUUGGAUUAGGAGUCUAAACUGAGGGGUCUGUGGGUCUGUCUAUUGAGAAAGAGCUGUAUGUCCCUUGAAACUGAAUAUUGUGUCUAUGAUUCAAUGCAAACACAAUAAAAUAACCCUCCAGAUUACA
ensembl:lncRNA